rnacentral:rRNA from 1 species
GAUGAACGCUGGCGGCGUGCCUAAUACAUGCAAGUCGAGCGAACGGACGAGAAGCUUGCUUCUCUGAUGUUAGCGGCGGACGGGUGAGUAACACGUGGAUAACCUACCUAUAAGACUGGGAUAACUUCGGGAAACCGGAGCUACUACCGGAUAAUAUUUUGAACCACAUGGUUCAACAGUGAAAGAUGGUCUUGCUGUCACUUAUAGAUGGAUCCGCGCUGCAUUAGCUAGUUGGUAAGGUAACGGCUUACCAAGGCAACGAUGCAUAGCCGACCUGAGAGGGUGAUCGGCCACACUGGGAGUGAGACACGGUCCAGACUCCUACGGGAGGCAGCAGUAGGGAAUCUUCGGCAAUGGGCGAAAGCCUGACGGAGCAACGCCGCGUGAGUGAUGAAGGUCUUCGGAUCGUAAAACUCUGUUAUGAGGGAAGAACAUAUGUGUAAGUAACUGUGCACAUCUUGACGGUACCUAAUCAGAAAGCCCCGGCUAACUACGUG